UGGUGUGUAGCUUAGGGGGGUAGAGUAGUAAGCUUUUAACUUAAAGGGGGUUGGUUCAAGUCCAACGGCAUCAG
rnacentral:tRNA from 1 species